CAGUUAUAAAUUUGUUUGAUGAUAAAACAGCGUCUACUGUAAAAUUUGUAAAUACAACAAAACGUUUCCGGACAGCGAGCGCGCUUCUCUGCCUCCAUUUUGCUUAUCGUGCAUAUUGUCAAACACACUGGUCAACGGGAUAUACUCGUAUCUUACCACACUACAUAAACGGCGAUUCAAACACAUCUGCAAGCUGUUGUUCCUUUAUGUACGAGAGUUUCCAUUUUGCGCGAACAAUUUCACGUUAUAAAUACUCUACUUUCCUUCAAUCGACACCUCCACUUCGACACCAGCUUCAAUAGAAAAGGAAGUGAUCUGCUUAACAGUGUCAGGUAUGCUGAACAGAUCGAUAACUCUUUUGUGAAUGCGCAUCUGGAAUCGAUCCCAGGUCUUGGAUCCUUCACCGCACGGCGUUUUCCGGGUUGUAAUGCGGAGCACUUUCGUGGGGAUGCGGACUGGGCCUUUGGUUCGCACGCGCUUCUCUUUCGAUUUCUGAAUGAAUUCCGUACAAACUGCGAAGAAAAUGUCAUGCACUGUUGCUUUAAAAACCAUUUGACCAAAAGAUCCAAUACCCUUAGAACAAUAAUAAC